GACAGAGGCCCCGAGCGUUAGGCGGAAUCACUGGGCUUAAAGCGUGUGUAGGCGGAUCGUUAAGUGUCUUGUGAAAUCCCACGGCUCACCCGUGGAACCGCUGGGCAUACUGGCGAUCUUGGGCCAUUCAGGGGCAGCUGGAACAAGCGGUGGAGCGGUGAAAUGCGUAGAUAUCGCUUGGAACACCAAAGGUGAAAACAGGCUGCUGGGAAUGUGCCGACGCUGAGACACGAAAGCCAGGGGAGCGAACGGG
rnacentral:rRNA from 1 species